GACGAACGCUGGCGGCGUGCUUAACACAUGCAAGUCGAACGGAAAGGCCCUGCUUUUGUGGGGUGCUCGAGGGGCGAACGGGUGAGUAACACGUGAGUAACCUGUCCUUGACUUUGGGAUAACUUCAGGAAACUGGGGCUAAUACCGGAUAGGAGCUCCUGCUGCAUGGUGGGGGUGGGAAAGUUUCGGCGGUUGGGGAUGGAGUGGCGACCUAUCAGUUUGUUGGGGGGGUAUUGGCUUACCACGGCGUUGCGGGGAAGCCGGCCUGGGGGGGGGGAUGGCGCCCAGGGGACUACGGGAGGGCCCAGAGUCGAACGGGCGGCAGCGGUGGGGAGUAUGGCACAGGGGGGGGAAGCCGAUGAAAGCAACGCCGCGGGCGGAAUGACGGCCUUCGGGUGGUAAACCACUUUCGCAUGGGACGAAGCGGGAGUGACGGUAAUGGGUGAAGAAGCACCGGCUAACUACGUG
rnacentral:rRNA from 1 species